GCAUACAACCUCUUCAGAGUAGAAGAAUGACUUUCUAAUUAUCCAAGAAAAUUUAAUCUUUAACAAUUCAAAUUAGAUCAUCAUGUUUAUGUAAACUAGAAUGUCCCAAAAAAUUUAUGUAUUAAAAAAGAUUUGAGUAUUUAUAAAAAAAACCACACUAGCUAGUUCGAAAACAGGCACACAGCUACAACACUCGGAUCGAAUUGUAGUAAUAGCAACACCAAGAGAAGCAGAGAAACUAACCUUAGAAAGUGUUUUUCAAUGUCAUCAAAGAGUUAAAUAUGCAAGUAAUGAACAUAUACUAAUUUGAGAGACUAAAAAGAAAAUUAGUACUCCCAUUUGCAGCACAAACGCAUAGUAUAAUUGCAGCAGAAAUGCCAAUUAGAUCACUGUUGCUGUUGUAGAAACUCACAAUUAAAACCAUACCAAGAAAAAAAAAAAACAGGUACAAUAAGAAGUAAGCUCUCAAAUCCCAAGAACUUAAAACCUAUGAGUAUGAAACCAAUUCAACAUAUCAAAUAUAAUAAACAACUAUAAAACUAUAUAAGAAAGAGUCACCACCAACCAAGAUUCCAUCCAUGGGGAUUCCUUCAGUUCAUCCCCUAGAUAAGUUUCUCAUUCAAGAAAUUGUUGCUAUGCAGAUAGAUGCCUAGAAGAACACUCCAUAAAGGAAAAUAGAAGCAAAGAAACACAAAACCAAAAAUUCCAAAUCAGCUAAAUGUUAAUAUCCUGUCAUUCACUUUUUGAAAGAGACUCAAAAAAUCAUAUUCGCUUACAUCAAAUCUGAACAUAUCAAUAUACAACUAUUACAUUAAAUUUCUAACCAACAAAGUAAUACAGAAUAUUACUUUUUCUUCCAAUGCUCUAAACAAAUCAAUAUGCAGCAUUAUAAUUGUUGUAGCAAAGCCUAUUCCUUAAGUCCAGCCCUCUUUCUUAUCUCACUGAUCUCAAACUUGACUUGAUUGCUUGCCAAUUCUUCACUUUUCAUGUUGAUCAAUUCAUCAGGCUUGAUAUCUCCACAGAGAACUUUUCUCCUUAAGUCUGGAUUCUUUGCAUCCCUCAGGUUGAACAGAAUUGACCUGUACUUCCUCUUUUGACUACCAACACAAGGACCCAUCUGGCUAAACAUCUCAGACUCAACCAGUGCAGCAACCUCAACAUGAUCCCUUAGACACACAUUUUCUCCAAUCUUUUCUCUGGAUUCAGAUGCUACCUUUGAGAAGGCUUCUUCAAGCAUGCCUCUCACUUUGUUUCUUGAUGUAUCUUUCACAUUCUGAGUGGAGGGUUGAGGAUUACUUUGCAAUGGCAUCUUGAGGUUAAUGGUAAGUCCUUUGUUCGAAGCAUUAGCGGACUCUUCCAUCUUCAGAGAUGAAGGUUGAGGAGGGGGCAACGCUGAAACAUUGUCAGAAGAAGGUUGAACAGGAGCCGUUGGCUGCAACUUGAUGCGAAUAGUACUGGACCGCGUUGAACAUUUUGAGAUUUCAGUUUCCCUCUGCUUCCACACAUCGAUAAGCCGAGAAGCUGCAGAGCAAAUCUUUCGACUCUUAUGCUUACAAAGAUUUUGCAGCUUCUUGUAGAUAUUAUGUGUAUUGAUAAGUUCAGUGUUGAAGGGGCAAGUUUCAAGCCGCUUCAGACAAUCAACGCAUCUGGAUAUCUCGGAUGAACCCAGAAGAAUACCCUUGAUGUUUGCAGAAUCGGCAGCUUUCUUAGCUGCCGCAAGAAUCUCUAGUGUUUCAUCCAUUCUUCAAAUAUUUCUUGCACCUGAUAUAGAAGCUUUCAACAAUUUCUUCCGAACAGAGAAACCCUGAAAGAAAACAUAGAGACUGAAUCUCUCAUCUUCUUAUCACAUAAGCAAGGAAAGAAAAGCCAACAACACAAGAAAGAAAACAGAGGAACACAUGGAAGGAAACCCAGAGAGUCUCUUCUUCCUCUUCAAAACGAAAACUUUACAAACAGUGAAUCUCUUAUUUGGAUUUAUGCUUCUCAUCCUUCUUCUUAUAAACAGAGCCUCUCAGUUUUUCCUCGUCCGAUCAGAGAAACACAUAAUUUAAAUACCAAAAAUUUUAAGUGAAUUCCCUAUUAUGCCCUCAACUUACCGUUAAUCCACUUGGGUUGCAAUCUCGGGUCGGGUUCUGUUACCAUUUAUUCUGAUUGGAUUUUAAUUUUAAUAAUUUUUUAAAGAAACAAAAUAUUUUUAAAAUAUUAUAUUACAGAUAUAUCAAGACACAAUUAAUAUAAAAAAAAUUAUUUUAUAUUUUAAUAAAAAAAUUAUCAUUGGGCAAGUUUUCAAUCCAAAAAUUUAUAAUGUAGUUUAUUUACUUAUAAUUUUUUUAAAAAAUAUAAGAUUUUAUUGAUACUUUUUCAAAAGAAAGUUGAAUAAUUACACAUAUAAGUUAAGAAAAUUAGUAUUAUAAUAAAUUAAAUAUUACAGAAAGCAACAAGAAUCUAGUUUACACAAAUAUUAUUUUGUGUAUCAGUUCAGUCAAGAAUUAUUAUUGUUAACACAAAUAUAUAUGGCAACCUAAAAGAUUGUGAACUAUAUUUUUCAAACUUUCAAUAUCUAAGACAAAAUACAAGUACUCAAGAAUGUCAUUAAUUUGUAAAUUAAAGAGAUUAUGUAUCACAGAAUUUAUAGUUCUACAUUCUCUACCUAAUGAACCUACUUGAAAUUUAAACUAUCUUUAAUCUUUCUUAUAAGAUCUAGUUGGUAAGAUAUUUAUAUUGAUAUAAAUUGAUUCUGAUGAAUAUUUUACAUUAUUUUCUGAGAAAUAUUAUAAAAAUAUUUUGAAAAAGACCUUAUUACUUUAUCUAUGAGUGUCUACAACUCUAUUGGAUAUGUACUAUUAUUUUUUCAAUAAAAAAUUUCUCAUUUGUCUUACUUAUGGAGUAUGCAUCUUUGUCAAAUUACGUUAAAUCUUAUAUAUAUUUUUUUUAUUUUGUGUAAUUGUGUGCGUAUUGAAGAUUAUUUUCUCAAUAAUUAGUAUCAGAGCAAGGUUAAAGAAUAAAAAAAAAAUGGAAUACUACUAAUAAAAAAGAAAAGAGGGACCUGACAACUAGGGUUUCUCUUUAGAUUUUUUUAACUUACUUGACCACCACUAAAAAGAAUAAGAAGUGACAACGCCUACGACUUCCCUUGGAAUCAAAAGGUAAUGCAGGGAGUUGUGAGAUCUGUGCGGCAAUUCUAUGAGCGUAGCAGCUUUAUUUCGGUCAGAUAGAGAAGAAGAAGCAUGGGCGGUGACGACACGAUUCCUACGAGAUCUAUCAUAGAUCUAUAAGGAAAAAGACGAAUCAGAAAACAAUCAAGCGCACGCGAUGACGGCGCGAUAUCCACGAGAUCUGUUCUGGAUCUCCGAGCAAGGAAGGAGACAAAGCGUUCUUGUACGCGGUGAUUUGUGCAAGGACAGGUCACAGAGUGGUAUUUUCGAUGUUUUUUGGUGUCUGUGUGCGGCGGCAGCAAUGCAUUUUAUUUACUUAUAUAUUUUUUAAUAAAAUUUAAAAAUUUACUGAUAUAAUCUUAUGUGAAAUUAACCAAUACAAAAUAAUACAAAUUAUUAUUUAAACUCCUAUCAAUUUUUCCUCUUUGUUGUACUUCUUCAUUAAUUUACACUAGCCUAAAUUUUACUUUUUAAGUUUGACAUUGCAAAAAUUUUUAAAAGAAAAUCAAACGAUUCUGUGUAUAUUCGUUUUUAGUUAAGAAAAUUAAUAUUACGAUAAAUUAAAUAUGAUGAAAAACAACAAAAAUUUAGUUUAUAGAUUUAAGAUUGAAAUGCAAAUUGUGUUUGAGAUAUCAAAUUUAACAAAAAAUAUAUAUAAUUAUUUUGAAUAAUAUUGUAUCAACUUGGUAAAAAAUUAUUAUCAUUAACUCAAAUAUUUUUAGCAAUCUAAGAUAUGGUUAAUUAUGUUUUUCAAAUUUUCAAUAUCUAUGACAAAAUAAAAAUAUUCAAGAAUGUCAUCCAAUGAAGUGCAAGUUUUAAAUUAAAGAGAUUAUGUAUUAGAGAUUAUAAGUAUAAUUACAGUUUUACGUUAUCUACUCUGGUCACUAACUUGAUAUUUAAAUUAUUUUUAAUUUUUUUAUAUAAAAUUUAUUAACUAAAUAAAUAUUUUUUGAGUAAUUACUUAAAAUAUUUCUCUAAAAAUAAUCUAUCGAGAGAAAUAAUAUUAAGAAAAAUAUUUUAAAAAAUAUUAUUUCAUUGUGCUUCAACUUGUGAUAUUUGAAUUUUUGAGAGAUACGUGACAAAAAAAAAUUAUUUUAUUAAAAUAUUCAUUUUAAAUUUAAUUAAUUUUGGUUUUAAUAAUUGGAGUAUACAAUAAAUUUUUUAAGAAGCAUUUUGAAUAAUAUUGGUUAUAUUGAAAAAUAAAAUAUGUAUAUAAAAAUAAGGCCUUUUAAUAUUUUUAUCAUAAUUUUUAUAAUUUUAUAAAAAAAUUAAAAAUUAUAUCAAAAUUUUAUAAAUUUUCUAAAAAAUUUUAGAUAAUUGUUUUUAUUUUUUUAUUGUAACUUUUUUUUUUCCUAAAAAAAUUAAAAUCAAUUUUAUAAAUUUUCUAAAAAAAAUUAGAUAAUUUUUUUAAAAAUUUUUUUAUUGUAACUUUUUUUUGAAAAAAAAAAACAGAAAAAUCAUAUUUUUUUCUUUUUCUUACACGUGUUGCGGAGGGCGUACCUCGCUAUUUCUUUCUCUCUUUCCAUUGUUGGGACACCAGAAAACCUCUAAGAGAACGGGGACAAAGAAAGUGGAGAAGACGAAGAUGACGACGCUUUCAUUCUCAUCAGCACCUACUCUUUCUCUCUUCAACAAUACCAACAACAAGCCACAUCUAUCUCUUAAUGGCUUCCAUCACAAGGCCAAUUUUCUCACUACUGGGGACUCGUCCAUCUCAAACGUCUCCAAUCCUCUCAGGUACUAAUAUUGAAUCCAUGGAUUGAAUUUCUUUUUUUGUAAAAAAUCAGAGAAAUUGUUUCAAUUUACUUCUUGUUGUUUUUAUUAUAUGUUCCAGAGUGUCGAUUAAUCACAAGGAAAUGGUGAUGGUUAAGAAGAGGUGUAAGGAGAAGAGGAGUGGAGGUACGGUGUGUUACGCUGCGCCUUUAACCGCCUCUAAUCUCCAGUGGAUCUCAAUUGUUUCCUCUGGGUAUGAGCUCCCUAACUCUGCAUAAUUUUGUAUAAACGUGUCUCUUGUUUGAGAGUGUGAUUUUCAAAGCAUCUUAGAGAAAGGUAGAAUAGACUAGAGGAAGGAUGGUACAAAUACUUGUUUGGACGGCAAAGUUCCUGCCUCAGUUUUACGUAAAAUUACUUCCUGUACGUUGAAGCAGUAUUCGAAUUAGUCAUUCUCUCUUAGUUACCAUUAAUACGUCAACUCUGGAUAGACCUGAACUUGUUGAGGCCGAUUGGUUCUUUUAUAUAUAUACAUAUAUUAGAUUAUUUCAGAUCAGUCCACAUUUAAAUUUUUUGUUCGUAUUAAGAUGUCAUAUGAUAUUUAACGUGACAUCUAAUGCAAAAAAGUGACAAGAUGUAAUAUAGCAAGGUUUGACAAGUGAUAUUAGGUGUUAACGAUAUUAGUGGUCAUUGACUAAGAGAGACUAAUUCGAAUAUUUUUUGAAAAUACAGUAAUUAAUUUACUGUAAAAUCAAGGCAGAGAUCAAAUCGAACAAAAAAAAUGUAAAGGGAACAAAAAAAUGUUGUAGCCCUUGUCUGGAGUUAAUAUUCUUUAAAUGAGAAUUUUAACUCAUGUUGAAGAGAGUAAAAUAAAGGACAAAUUUGAUAAAUAUGAAAUGAAAAUUUUUUAUUAAAAAGAUAUCUUAUAAAUUAAUAUAAAAUGAUUGUUAAGUAAAAAAUAUAACAUAAAUGGAUUAUGACACUUUUUUCAUAAAAAAAAAUUAACUGUUCGAUAGUUAGGGGCUAACAGAGAAUCUGACUAACAUGUUUCUUCUCUCUGCUAAUAUCCUUCUACACCAAUUGUCUUCUCUCACCGAACUAGCUAUUAUCCAAUUGAUGCCCAAUUGAUGCCAGUAACCCAUAAAUUAAGGUCCACAGUUUAUACACAGAUACUAUAAGAGUGUAAUUACACACACAACUCCACCUCCCUUUUACAUAAAAAACAAUUUAUGUAAUUAUUUAUUAAAAUUUAAUAGAAUUAGAAAAGUAAUUGUUUAAUGAUGUUUUAAUUACUUCCGAAGUGAAUUCCAUUCCUUAAAAUACUACCAAAUGAAAAUAUUGAUUUGCAAAUGAGUUCUAUUUUUCCUUUAUAUUUGGGGGUUAAACUCAAUUUUCAUGUAAAGUUUUUAUUCAAAUGGUAAUAUUAAGUGCUAAUUGCAUUUAAGACUUAUAAGGAAUGUUGGAUGCAAAAAUAAUUUUAUUAGUUUGAUAUGUUUCUUUAGUAAUUUGCCUGGUAUAGUCUAGGUGCAUUUCUGAUAUAUGUUUUUUUGUAUAGGAUUUUAAUGCUUGCCAAAGGCACAGGCGUUCAGAAAUCUUUUCUUGUUCUGUUAUUUGCUUUACAAGCACCAAUAAGCAUCAUCUCAUGGAUUAAGUAAGCCUUUAUGGGAGACUUUGUUAUUUUCUCUUUUGGAUUACAUCACACUACCAUCAACUUGUAAUUGCUUUAUUGGGCUUUACAUGUGUGUGCAAGUCUCAGAAAUGUCAUCUUAUCACUCAAGCAGGCCAAUCAUAUUUGAUGAGUUCAUGCCGUUGUAAAAAUAUGAGUAUGCUUUGCAGGGGUGAUUAUGGUAUUUGGACUGCAUUCUUGGCACUUCUUGUACGUCUUUUCUUCUUUAUUCCUGGUAGGUUUUCUUAAAUAUUUGUAUUGAGUUUAAGAUUUAAGCAAGAUCAACUCAAAACAUUCUUCUUCUUUUUUUUAAAGAAGAAUUGAUUAUUGUAAAAGAUCAACUCAAAAUGUUCUUCUCUCUUUCUUUUUAAUUUAAAAGUAUGAGUAGGGGGAACAAAGUUGCAUAAGAUGAGGGCUUGUUUUCCCAAUAAAACAACAAAAUGAAAGCAAAAGAAGUAAAUAGUGAAAAGUCGAAGAAACUUAAAACAUGUGAGAAAUGCCAAAGCCGCAUUGGCAAUACAGAUAGAUUCUUUAAUCUAAGAUUUCCGAAUGCCCAGCCCCCUUGAUCUCUUGGACUGACAAUAUACUUCCCAACUUACUAAAUGGUCCCUGUUCUCCCCUCAACACCUGUGAGAAUCUUCUCAUACACCUUUCUAUCCUAUUUGUUAUCCCUGCAGGAAUCAUAAACGAUGAUAUGAAGUAAAAAGGUAUGUGAGAGAGACAAGUCUGGAUCAAAGUGACCCUUCCCUAUAUAGAAAAGAGACCCCCUUUCAAACUCUUGAGACUCUUACUAGCUUUUUGUUCCACUUUGUCCCAAAAGGACGUAUUAUUUGCCCUAAUGGAAGUCCCAGGUAUAUAAUGGCCCACUUUAACUUAAUACAUCCUAUCUGAUUUGCUGUCUGAUCGAUUAUAUCCUCCUCUACACUGAUCUCGAUGAGGUCACUGUAAGUUAGGUUAAUUUUCAGCUCUAAUGUGUGUCCAAACACUUGGAUGAGGGUGAGUGCAUUUCUAAUCGCCUUAUUAUCAUGUUGCAAGAACAACAUCAAGUCAUCGGCAUAUUGUAAAUGAGAAACCUUCAUCCUAUCCUUUUCUACCCCUAAUCCUCUCAUCUUACCUCUCUCCAAUGCUCUAUUCAACAUUCUAAUACCUACAUCUGUUACCAAAGUGAAGAGGAAUAGAGAUAAGGGAUCCCUCUACCUAACUCCUUUAGAUGCCGUAAACAAUCUUGAAGUUUUUCAUACCGCAACGGAAACAGAAGAUAAACAUCCCUUUAUACAUCUUCUUCACCUAACCCUGAAAUCCUUAUGCUCCAUGAAUCCAUCAAGGAAACUCCAGCUAGCAGGAUCAUAGGCUUUUGCAAAGUCUAGCUUAAGAACCAAGCCUUUUCCUUUAGACCUUGGAGUAAACUCUACUACCAUUUACAAUUAAUGAGGCAUAUAGGAUUCGUCUACCUUGCAUGAAGGCACUCUGGUUUAGUGAAAUUAUAUUCAAGUAAGGUAGAGAAUAUCUAUAUCAUUUCAUUCAUAAGCAAUGUUCAUAAUGAUUCAACUAUUUUUAAGCUAGAUAUCCUAAAUUAUGUUUGGGAUACUAGGUGUGACAUACCACCUAACCAGGAGUUCAUCAUGUAGAAAAUAAUAAAUGUAGUAAAAAUAUGGUAAUAACUGGUACAUGUUUGAAUUUUAUUUGUCUUUCUUGUUGUGCAUGUAUUAGGAAGUACAAUGCUAGACUUUUCAAGAAUUUACUUCAUAUGUUUUCUUUUCCUAUAAAAAAUGGAAUUCUAGUCAUAAAAAAAGCAAUAGUUUACCUCCUUCGGGACUUUUUUCUUGUGAUACGAGCUCAUUUAUGUUUUUAUUGAAUAUUUUGUUUUGCUAAUCCUUGAUUGCAUACAAAACAGCUACUGGAACAUAUUGACCUUGUAAUCACAGAACUUGCCUUCCCGGGGGUUUGGGGGUGCUGGAGGUGGGGGAUGGGGUUUNCUCUUUUUAUGCAAUUAAGGUUUGUGGAUUUUCCGUUUGAAAAGAUACAAAACUUUAUUUUUGCUUUGUUCUUACGUUCAUGCUGUUACCCACUCACAGGGGAAGACAAGCAGGUGCAAUUACUUCCUUGAUGAUUGCAGGUUAUCUGGCUUUCCAGCAUUUCUCACGAGCAGGCAGCUUGAAGAAGGCUUUUGACCAAGGUUCAAUUAUUGCUACCAUAGCCAUCAUUUGUAUUACUGCAGUAUCGUGCUUGCUUAUCAUCUGAACUAAGUAGAAUUGAUGAAUAGUAAGUAAUUUCAGAAUCUUAUUUUUGAACCAUUAGAGAAGAUGGAAAAUGAGGAAGUUAUCCUCUUAUUAGUUUUUUUGUUUUAUUUAUUUUUCUGUAAUGUUCUCUACUUUCAUGUCAAUGAUAUAUAAGCUUAUUAUGCUAAGUUCAAUAGAGUGUUGAAUGUGUAUGUAGACCUUUUGCUUUGUCUACAAACAAAUGCCAAACUUCCCCCACCACCAGUUUUGCGCAUUCUUUUACAUAAAUUAUAACAUCUCGAAGAAAGAGAAAUAAUCAUGUGAUUCUAUUCAUACCUUUGAAUAGAUUAACCUCAAUUAAAACGAUUUUUCCCUACUUGAUGGAACUUUCUUGUUUCUUAGAAUUGCGAAUCCUUUAUAGAGAACAAUGGAAAUGCAUGUACGGUAUUUUUUUUUAAAUAAAAUGGUUGUAACCAUGAGAAAGAGAAUUCUAGUUCCAUAUAACACUUCCAUUUUCUAGUCUCUAGUAGAAGCGUUCCUCUAUACUUUUUUUUUCCUUUUAAUACUUUUGCUUAUGAGCUGCUGAACUUUUUCCAUUCUCCACAUUCAUUUUUGCUGUCCUCAUGAUUAAGUUAUGAUGGUAUCUAGUGUUUAGUAGGAUAAAAUAGAAAAUGAUAAUCUUAUUAUUGUCUAUAGAAUCCUUUUGCCAUUUAUGUCCCCCCUCAAUGGUGAAGUUAAUCCUGAAAAUUCUUUUCAUUGAAGUCAUAAUAAAAUAAGGACAAGAAUCAUGAAAUAUUGACAGCAAAUUCAUUUCUCCCUUGGCACUUGAGAGUAUGGUUUGACAUUGUUGAAUAGUUUCAAUGUAUUUGUAUAGCAUGCCCGAUUCGACUGAGCAUGUUUCAGUUCUAAGACUACCACACAUAUUUGAAAGUUUAUUAAAAAUUAACUAGACCUUAAGACUGGCCUUUCAAUUGCUUGUUUAAUUUUCUUGAGAGCUUAACAUUUUUGCUGCAUCUUGAAGAAAAGAAACUUAACUCCAUCUUUAAUUUACAUUUCAAAUGCUUUACAUUAUGAUGCUGAUCAUAUCAUUGGAGAUAUAUCUUUAUUCUUUAAUAGCAAACAAAUAUGAAGGAUAAGGUAUCUUCAGACAGAAUAUUAACUGAACAUAUCUUCAUUUAUUUUUCAGCUCUUCUUUUAUUUAAAGUACAAAGCAUGAUUUCACCUCUUGUGUUUAACAUGAUUGCAUCUCAAUAUCUGUGAUUUUCUUUUAGCAGUAUAUUGUGAUUUGAUUAUUUUUUUAUAUACAUUGAACUGUCAAUUUCUCUUAGGAUAUUUAUACUUCUUUGAACUUAUAAACAAGAAGAAGGAGAAUUUCAAGGCUAAACAAAUCAAAUUACGAAAACAAAACUCAAUAAUAGUUUUAUAUAUAAUAGUAGAAAAACCAUAUUAAACUAUAACUAGACCAGACCAUAAUAAGUGAAAUGUUAUUUACCCAUAAAGCUCUGUUAUGUCCAUCAAAAUAUAUUUUAGUUUUUUUCUUAGAUUUUUAUAUAUAUUUAUAAGAUGUAUAAUGAUGUGUCUAUAUAUGUUUCAAAAAAAUGAUGAUGUGUCUAUAUAUCGUAUUCAAGUACAAAUUAGUUCUAUAAAAGCAUAUUUAGGAAAAGCUUUUUAUUCAUUGUGAAUUCUUGUUAUAUUUUCACUAAUUCUCUAACCAUUGUUUAUUUCAUUUUUAACUCCCACAUAUUUUUAGAUAUAAUAGAUGAAUUUAGAUAAUUUAGACUGCAUAAUUGUUUUCAUUUACCAAACAAUGCUUAAAAUUCAAGUUUAGUUUGUGCUCUUUGAAGAACAUGAUAGGAUUAGAACUUCCUACUGCUGUACUGGAAAUGUGUUUCUGUUAUUAAUGCAUUUUGUGUAGUGACUGUAGAUAACAAGGAUAUCAUAUUUUCACUGUGCUAUACGGUUGUGUGGAGGUGGUCUUUGAUUGGGAUUCUCUACCUGUGGUACUAUAUGGAACAUUCCCUUCCAGUAAGCUAGCUGUCUUUUUUUUUUGUAAUCAAUAUUAAUCCAAUGCGCGAUAAACAUGACAACACAUCAGUUGUUUGCUUAUCGUGCUCAUUAGUGUGUCCUAGUUUGUUAACCCGUUUUCUAGUAGGUCAACAAAUAAGAUAAGAUUCUGUAGGAUUCUUACUCUUUUCGGAGCCAUCAAUUAAUCCAUGCUUUUCUAAGUCUCUUUCAAGAAAACAGUCCUAUGGCAAGAUGGCCUUUUCUAAUAAUUUAUUGUGCUAGCACUGCGUACAAAGUAACUAUUUAAAAUUGUCUACAAGAACCUAAUAGAUUCUAACUUCCCUUCAUUCCCGAAGGCUUCUAGUCUACUAAAAUGCACGUGACAAUGAAGUAUAGCGACACAACUUAUAAUGAGANNNNNNNNNNNNNNNNNNNNNNNNNNNNNNNNNNNNNNNNNNNNNNNNNNNNNNNNNNNNNNNNNNNNNNNNNNNNNNNNNNNNNNNNNNNNNNNNNNNNNNNNNNNNNNNNNNNNNNNNNNNNNNNNNNNNNNNNNNNNNNNNNNNNNNNNNNNNNNNNNNNNNNNNNNNNNNNNNNNNNNNNNNNNNNNNNNNNNNNNNNNNNNNNNNNNNNNNNNNNNNNNNNNNNNNNNNNNNNNNNNNUAAGCAUAGAAAGAGUAGUUAGCAGAAGAUAGAUAUCCUUAACAUAUACAACUCAGGUCAAUGAUUAUAGAAUGUUAAUUUACAAAUUAGCAUAAGUAGAAAAUUUGUUUGAAAAGUUUAGAUUUUUAUUGAAUUCUAACUUCGAAUAUAAAAGUACAGCAAAACUGAAAUACAAAAAAAUGGCUAAAGAAUCUGAUAAUAUCGCUGAAAAAUAGCAACAAACAAUAGCUACUUUUGCAACAGAAAGACAAAAUCAAAUCUACUGAUAAUCAGCUAAAUACUAUUACUAAAGUUGCCGAAUUCAUCUUACUUGGAUCAGUGUUGGUAAGUUGUGCUGUUCCUCCAAAAACACAGCUGGUAGGAGCUGGAUUCUUCUGGUAGUAGUCAUUGAAUGCAUAAGAAGCAUGGUCUCGCAGAUUAUUGGGAUCAAAACAACUUGCCCCUGGUUGAAGUGCAGAACAGUCUGCACCUCCAUAGCCACACGCAUAAUCAAGGGCUACUUGCAAUGCAGUUGGGGAAGCAGUCGGGCUUGCAAUACACCAUUGGCCUCCUGAUGUUACAGGUGUGGGUGUAGUUGUCUCGGCAGGUGGAUUUAUUGGCUGUACAGUAGGUGUUGUUGGAUUCACAACGGGAGUUGUUGGAUUCACGACGGGAAUAUUACCCGGAGCUGUAUCCAGUUCAUCUUCGGUGAACAAAGGUGAAAUGAGGAUCCGAUUACGAUGACCAUCUAAUUCAUUCUGUUCUCUAAUUGCUUCAGGCGAAGGUUUCCCUGCUAUACUUGAACCUGAAGACACAAAGAGGUACAAUGACUUCUUUCCUUUUUCUUUGAUUAUUUAAAUGCUCACAAAUUUUACUGCUGAACUCAAAUCACUCUUGAGGUAUUAGUUUUAAACCAAAAGAACAAGAUAAAAGAAAGGGAAAGGAACAAAAAAACUGGCUGCAAAGGUUGAGACAGAAAAAGUUAGUGAAGUUGCUGCUUAUGCAUUGUAAGGUCUUUAAAGUUACAAACACCAAAGGGACUCCAAUUUCUAAUCACAACACAAUGAGAUUGGUAAUUAGGGUUUAUGAUUGUUUAAAAUAGAGCUGCAGCUACUUAUAUAUGUAUAAAAUUUUUAACAAACAAGUUUGCUGAACUAUUUAUUAACAAUGUGUUUAUGCUUUUAUCAGAUUAUUAAACUUAAUCAUUUUUUUUUUUUGCAAUUUUCAAAAGAAUAGAAAGAAAAAAAAUAUAAAAAUGUAUUAGAAUUUUUAUUAUUUCUGCCAAAAUUUCCAGAGUUAGGAAAAUUUUUUGGGAGUUAAAUUUUAUAUCAUCAAUGGUUUAUUUCUUUAUAUAGAUGUCUAUGUGUGUAUAUAUAUAUAUGUUUGUAUGUGUGUGUUUGUGUGACUAUACAUUCAUAAACAUGUGUGGACGUAUGAAUGUUGCUUUUAAGUAUGUAAGCUGUUGAGUUUUUGAAGAGACAAAUUUUUGCUAUUUUCAAAUUCAUCUAUGUUAUUAAGGAUUAUUGUUAUUUUCAUUUAUUGCACUCUUUUCGAACGCAUAAAAGUAAAUUAUUGAAGAAAAUCAAAGUUAGAGAACAAUUAUAUCUGUUUUGUUAAACUAGAAAGAAAUUAUUUGACAGGAGAUGAAGAUUUCUAACAUAUAUUCUAUAGAUACAUACAUACAUAUAUAUGAAAAUUAGAAGAGGAAGAGGAAAUGACCUGAAUUGAUUAGAAGGUGGAGGAGGAAGAGUGCAAGACAAGAGGCAAGUGGGGAAGCCAUGUGCAAUUGAGCUUCAAGAUUUUGAAAGAAUGAAAUAUAUAAUAAAACUAGGCCAAUCAAGAAGUCCUCUACCAUCCUUAGAUAUCUUAUAUACGUAUAUAUGUAUAAAUAAUUAUAAUUUUCAAGAAUCAAAGCUUCCUUCACACCAAGAGAGAAGGAAGAAUAAAACAAAACUUGAGAAAGGAGGAAUUGGGUAGUCGAAAUUGGCAAGCAAGGGAAGGUGCAAAAAAGUAGUAAAAGCUAUCUUAUAAGAAGAGAGCAAAAGCUAAAAAGACUUAUAUGUUGGGAAUUUAAAUCUCUUGAUGUUUCUCAUUAUUUAUAUACAUGUAGGCGCAUAUAUAUAUAUAUAUAUAUAUCAACCCUCUUUUUGUUGUUUAUCUUUUCACUGUUUUCUGGUACUGAAUCAAAAGUUAAAGCUCAGAUAUUUGAUGCGGUGGAACUGAAAAAAUAUUUAUUCCCAUUAGGUUCUGAUUUUAAUCAGAUUGACAUUAAGUCUCGCCUUAGGAGUCUUAAGAUCUGAUCUGAUUUAAUCAGAAUUUUAAUUUUACAGUGAUAUCAACAAGAAUUGAACUUACUAAUUAGACUAAUGCUUGCUAGUAGUAAAUUAUUCUUAAUAAUUUGUUAGUAAAGUAAAAUAAAAAUGGUUUGUUGGAAAGUUAAAGAUGCAAACUGUCGGAAGACAAGAUAAUUUGGUUCCUUGUAAGCAAAACUGUGAAGUUUUGUUGCCUUGUAUAACCUUACUCUUUCUUUUAAACUAAAAAUUAUAUAGGUAUGUAUAUGUGUAUACACACACACACACACACACAUAUAUAUAUAUAUGUAUAUGGGUUUAUAACUUACACGAGAAUUUAUGAAUUGUUUGGUUUAAUUAAGGUUAGGUUUAAUAUUUAAAGAAUAAAAUUAGAAUUGGAUUCUUUGAGUUAAAGUUUUUUGUUAACAAUGUAAAUGACUUAUGUUCUUCAAAAAAAAAAAAAAAAAAGUAGAUUGCUCUGAAAAUCCUAAAGUGUGGAUAUGUAAGAACCAAAUCCAUUAUUUUAAUAAAAUUUACAACUGAACCCAGUUUUUAUGUUAUAUUUCCUCUAGAGAAAUAUGUGUAAAAAUAUGUAAAAGAAAGAAGAUAAUAAUAAAUUUUAUUAAUAAUGAAGGAACUAAAUUAUUCUUCUUUCCCACUCAAAAUUUUUCUUACUUAAAAAAAGUAACUGAUAUUUAAAAGAGAGAGAGAAAAAAAACAUUCAUUACUAUUACAAAUGGAAAAAAAAAAAGAAAGAUGAUUGUAACUGGUUUGACAUUUACUACAAAAUAAUUAUAAUUUAGAACAAGUUGAUGGAAUUUUGAAUUUUGGAGAUAUUUUAUCUAUAUUUUGGAAUAUUUGAUGUUUAUUCUAGUAGGUAUUUUAUGUAUAUCUUAGGGAUAUAAUUUAUGUAUAUUGUAGAAAGUUUUUGUUUGAAAUUUAUAUAUAUAUAUAUAUAGGUUUACUAAUUUAAUUAUCGAUGUACUUUUAGAUUAUCAUAGUAGAAUAUUUUUUUGUCGAUCUUAUCCGUGAAUGUAAUUAUACUUUCGAAUCAUGUUAAAAUUAUGUUUUUUUUUUCUUAUUUCUUUUACUUUAUUAAAAUUGUGAGCGAUUUAGAUAUUUAUUUCUCUAACAUAAUAUAUUUAUUAUCUGUAGAUAUAAGAGAUGAAUAUGCAUUAUUUAGCAUAUAGGAAUAGAUACUUCACAUUUCAAAAUGUUUGAUUGGGUUCUAUAGACAAAGGCUAGGCAAUAUAUCAUAUAUAUAUAUAUAUAUCAUACUUUAUAUAUUAUAUAAUAUGUAUAAAAUAAUUAUUAUUAACGUAUCAGAAAAUAUCAUAUUGGAACAAACUAGACUUUUUACGAGAAUUAGAAUAAACACUAUUUGAUCUAAUUCAAUUCAGAUCGAACAAACCUGUCCAAUCUAAUUUUAUGGUGCAAACUGGCUAAAACAUACAGAGGACUUGCAUACUUGCUUCUACAAUUUCAUAAACCCAACUAAAAAGAUUACAAAAAAAUUAGAAAAUUCUACAAAUAUAGCCUGUUUUCUAUAAUUUCAUAAACCUAAUUAAAAUAAUUACAAGAAGAAUUAGAAAUUAAAAUGUAUAAUAACAUAAUAUAGACAACCAUGAGGACAAAUAAAGUGAUUGGUUCAUCCAAGUCCAAGUAUAGAUAUGAUGAAAAAAGUGAUUGCAUAUAAGGACAGUUAUAACAUUCUCACCCACUACAAACACCUCUUGACAUAUAAUGCAUUCAUCAAAAUUUCUACCAAAACAAGCAGGAAGAAGAAAGGAUUCAACUGUGAGAUAGAUAAUAAAAGUGCACACCCUUUGUUUCUCUCUCAUCACAUUAGUUUCUUGUUUCGAUAAUGAACAGAGCAANNNNNNNNNNNNNNNNNNNNNNNNNNNNNNNNNNNNNNNNNNNNNNNNNNNNNNNNNNNNNNNNNNNNNNNNNNNNNNNNNNNNNNNNNNNNNNNNNNNNNNNNNNNNNNNNNNNNNNNNNNNNNNNNNNNNNNNNNNNNNNNNNNNNNNNNNNNNNNNNNNNNNNNNNNNNNNNNNNNNNNNNNNNNNNNNNNNNNNNNNNNNNNNNNNNNNNNNNNNNNNNNNNNNNNNNNNNNNNNNNNNNNNNNNNNNNNNNNNNNNNNNNNNNNNAAGAUACGAAAUAUUUGAAUUUAUUAACAAUGUACGUAAAAAAAAAAAUGUUGUGGAAGUACAAUUAAUAUAAUUAUUCUAUAAUUAACAAAAAAAAUUUAUUUGGUAAUAUUAUGUGUAUCUUUAGCAAGUAAUUAAAAUUAAUUAAUAAUUUUUAUUUAUUUUUUCUUCAUAAGUACAUUUUGUUAUUUUAAAAAAGUCAACCAUGUAUUUACUUUCUUAAAACAAAGUCAAAUAUAUAUUUUAAUAGAUUUUGUGGUUUUUUUUUAAAUAUGAUAUUUUCCAUAUAUAUAUAUAUAUAUAAUUCCUCACCACUAAUUUUCUCCCUCGCUCUCUUUCUAAUCUUCAACAUGGAGGAAAAAUUACUACACGGCCCGAACAUAUCAUUCUAAGAGCAGUGGAUUUCUGGAUUCAUGGAGAAAGAACCGCUUCUCUCAUUUUCCAGCCCAAGAAUGAAACCCUCACCUCCUCUCUUUACUCUCCCGGAGGAAGAUGAAAUCUCCAUACCAAUGCCUAUCAGCCCAUCACAGCUCAAAGACCGCCUCAUCUUUGGCCCUUGUUCUUCUCCACGAGAUUCAUCUCCCAUUGUUGAUGCUUUAACUUUGUCCUUAAAUUCCCAAAAAUCCUCCGCCAUACCUUCACCUCCUUCUUCUUCUUUUUCACAAGAACCGCCCCCAAUUCAAGACCCAGUUUCUGUUUUAGAACCAUUCAUACCCAAACAGCAACUCCAACAAGAGCAGCAGCAACAGCAACAAUCGCAGUUACAAUCACCACAAGCUUGGUUGAUUGAUCCUAAUUGUCCAUGGACCAAGAGUAAUCUCCACAGGUCCAAAACUGCACCCGCCAUGGCGGUUCUCAGUGAUGUGAUUCAUCCUCCAAUUACGAAACCCAAAUUCGCCACACAGUCUAUUAUUAGGCAAGCCUUUGUUCUCUUGGUGUUGUAUUUGUCAUUGGGAGUGUUUAUAUAUUGGUUUAAUCGUGAUAAUUUCAUUGUUCACGAGACUCAUCCUGUUGUUGAUGCAUUGUAUUUUUGUAUUGUGACGAUGUGCACAAUUGGGUAUGGUGAUAUUACCCCUAAUAAUGUGUCUACCAAGUUGUUUUCUAUAAUGUUUGUGUUGGUGGGAUUUGGGUUUAUCGAUAUAUUGCUUAGCGGGAUGGUAAGCUAUGUGCUUGAUUUGCAAGAGAACUACAUGUUAAGAGCCGUUAAGCGUGGGACUCAGAAGGAUAAUGCAGGGUCAUACAUCAUUGAUGUGAAGAAAGGGAGAAUGAGGAUAAGGAUGAAGGUGGCAUUGGCAUUGGGUGUUGUGGUGCUUUGCAUUGGAGUUGGUGUCAGUAUUAUGCAUUUUGUUGAGAGGCUUGGAUGGUUAGAUUCAUUUUACCUUUCUGUUAUGUCAGUGACAACAGUUGGGUAUGGUGACAGGGCCUUUAAGACUUUGUCAGGUCGAAUUUUUGCUUCAAUUUGGUUGCUUGUCUCUACCCUUGCGGUUGCACGAGCAUUUUUGUAUUUGGUUGAGGCUAGGGUGGAUAAGCGGCAUAGGACGAUGGCAAAGUGGGUACUUGGUCAGGACAUGACNNNNNUGAUGCCAAAAGAAGCAGCAAAUAAUAUGCAUUUUGAUACGAUGUAAAUGUCAGAUUUCAUGCCUUCAUAUUUUAGAAAGCUUUAUUGAAUUAGAUAGUUUGCAUGAUACUAGCUUUCUCAUCUACUACAUGUGAAGAUUUAGAAAAUUCUAAUCUAUUCUGAAGGUUUCAUGGACUAGUUUUUAAGUUGGCAAUUAGUUGAUGCAUUAUGUCUUGUUAUAUACUCUAGGAUUGGUUGUUAAACAACAUAUUAACUAUUGCUGCAUUUGUAAUUGAUAAGUAUAAAAUGACUUUUGAAUGAUAUUGGAUUUUUGUAUCAGAUCAUUCAAUGCAUAAGAAAUGAUAUUCUUGGAAUGCCAUCAAAUUCCUUGUUGAUUGUUGCCUCUUUCUCCCUCACCAGAUGAAAUGCUUCAUAAUAAUUUUUUUUUUAAAAUAGAAAUGGCUCAUAAUAAAUUAAGAUAUAGAAACUAACAGAAGCUGAAAGCGUGCUUGUUGAGUACCACUUUGCCCAUAUCAUAAGUGCCUUACACCCCAUGGACAAAGGUGUUUGCUACAACGUGAAUUUACAAUUAAAUGGAUUGCAUCAGUGCCUGCUGUAGUUUUUCUUUCCAAUGUUUGAAAUCCCUUCUGUAUUUUAAUUAGAAAUUCUGAGGUUAGAAUAAUACUAUUACGAUAAUAGUCUAUAUUCACAUUUAGGUUUUAAGUGAUUGAUAUAAUCUCUUUUCUAGAACAUCAAGUUGGCUGGGAAGUUCUAUGUGUGCUUGGAACAUUCUGGCUCAAAAUUGGCUAAUAAGUUUCAUAGUCAAGGCACACUAGUUGUCAUGCCUUGUUAGUGUUGGAAUUUAAUGUAUUUCUACUAAGAAAGCAUUUUGUAAAUUAUGUAAUUUUUUAUGCAGAAGAAAAAGAUUCUAAUUUGAAACAAAUUUAUAUUUAAAAUAUAUUUUUUUAUAAUUGUUAUUCUUCGUAUUUAGUACUUCUAAUUUAUUUAAUCUGUUUAGGUUUAUCGUAAGUAUUAAAAACUUAGGCUAUUAAUUUUUUUGAGAUAAAAACUUAGUCUAUUAAUUAGAUUUAACAUAUAGAAAUUUUGAUUUUCUUUUAUUAUUUCAAUAAUUUUUUGUUGGUUGUAAUUAAUUCCUAUGUAAAGACUAGUAGCUAUCAAGAAGAAGAAAACUGAUGAUGAAUUAAGAAUUUUUGUACUAGAUUUUUAUUCCCUGUUAUCGCUUAUUCCUUUUCUGGUUUUUGCUUUGUCAAACCUAUUCUGCUCAGUCUACAUUUCUCUUUAUUUCUUCACCUGAUUUCCAAUUUCUCCUAGUCUACAUCUAUAGUUUUUCUUUCUCUCUUAUUUUAAAAAAAUAGUUUUUCUUUUUCUCUUAAAUUUUCUCCCUUUCUAAGCGAUGCUGAUGACAAAUUAGUAUCAAAGCGAUGUGUCUUGCAUAAGUUGGUGCAAAGCUAGGUUUCUAUCCUCACAUUCCUCACUAAAUUUAUCAUUUCCUUUAAGAAAAAUUAAGUUUCCACAUCCUACCAAAAAAAUUCUUGCCAAUAAAAGUAGUUAUUGGAAAGAAAAGGAUGUCCAAGACAAAAACAAAAGCAGCCCAAAAGCCAUGAUCAUUAUCAGAUAUAGCCCACCACCAGGAGGAAGCUGACAUUGCCGCUGUAGUUAGGCUAGAGAGGUCCAGCCAAUCCAUACCAGGAGCACCAACUGCAAAAUAUGCUAGAAAAUGCAUCAUUUGCUCCGAAAAGCUGAAAUAUAGGUAACUUUCUUAGAUCUCUGUCUUCCUAGCUGUCAAAAAGAAGACCAAGGCCUGAACUUCAAUCACCAUUUUGAAAACGAGCUUUCAGUAGGAAGCUUGACCCUCACCAGCUCACUCUUUCAUUAGUUCGGUUCAGGCUCUUGUAGACUGGUGUUCCCUCCUUGAGGCUGGUCCCUAUGAUUUUGUAGCCUAUUUUAUCAACUUUUGAAGUUAGUUGGUUAAAUAAAUGCAUUUACUCGGGUUUAGAGUAGAUCGUGGUUAAAGAUGAUAGCUUUGACAUGUAAUUAAGCAAACUCUUGGUUUCGAUUGAUUAUUUAACCUACUCGGUUAUAUAUGAUAUAUUGUAUUGAAUAUUUGGUUCUUUUGAAUACAUUAAGUGUUGAGAUACAUGCACUAUUCACAAAUAUUACAGAUAUCCAAUAUCAGUAAUUAUUACAUAAGAUUUCUUUGAUAAAAAAUUUCUUCCAAAUUAAUAUAUUUUGUUCUGCAUCAUUCUAUUCCACUUAGUGAAAAUUCGACCUCGAAUUUUGAAGUGGCGGAGCAUUAAAAUAGAAAAGCUCGAAUAUGUUCUCCAAAAUCUUCAAAAAAAGUUGAUGCUUUUGGUUAAUCUUCAAACAACAUUUGAAGGUUAAUUGAAUUAUAGGUUCCUUGAGUUCAUGAAACCAAUGAGACAAAAUAAAGUUAUUUUAAGAAAUCUCUUUAAUGUAGUUAUUAUAAAUGGGAACCUCUUCAAUAGCGUGAGGUAGAAUAAGAUUGUUGAAUAAGGAAGUUCUUCAGCAUCAUCAUCAUGAAACAAAACAAUUUCAACUGGAGCCAAUGUCUUGUGAAUUGCUAUUGGUGGUUUGGAAGGCACUUCAAGCUUUAUCUUCAAAUGCUUGAGAAGUAUUAGUUCUAUUCCUAAGUUCAAAUUUUCACUCUUGUGAAAGAUCUCAUGCUUUCCUGACUUUCGUGUAUAAAUUUAUUUUGUCCUUAUUUUUUAACUGACAUAAAUUAUUAAUAUAUGCAAUGACUAUUGAGAUAGCUUUUAACAUAGAAGGCAUAUUCAAUUAUUGAUAUUGGAUACAAAUGAUUGAAUGUAUCUCAAUAUUCUCUAUGCAUCUGUUGGGGCCAAAAACUUGGUACAACAUAUUGUUUGUAAUCGGUUAGAUUAUAUGAUGAAUUGUAACAAAAACUUCAUUGAGUUCCAUGUGAAUUGAAGCUGAUCUAUUGUGAAAUUGAUUGUAAUAUGCAAAAUUUGAUUAAUCUAAUAUGGUGGGAAAAUUUGAGGUUUUCUUUUGUUUUGUUUUUUUUCAAUGUAAAAAUCGGAAAGGUAGGGAUAGAACUUAUGUUUUGAUGCUAACGGAUGAAGGACAGUAAUGGUAGAACCAGAAAUUGUCCAACAAAGUAAGAAAUAGAGGAAGGUAUAGAGANNNNNNNNNNNNNNNNNNNNNNNNNNNNNNNNNNNNNNNNNNNNNNNNNNNNNNNNNNNNNNNNNNNNNNNNNNNNNNNNNNNNNNNNNNNNNNNNNNNNNNNNNNNNNNNNNNNNNNNNNNNNNNNNNNNNNNNNNNNNNNNNNNNNNNNNNNNNNNNNNNNNNNNNNNNNNNNNNNNNNNNNNNNNNNNNNNNNNNNNNNNNNNNNNNNNNNNNNNNNNNNNNNNNNNNNNNNNNNNNNNNNNNNNNNNNNNNNNNNNNNNNNNNNNNNNNNNNNNNNNNNNNNNNNNNNNNNNNNNNNNNNNNNNNNNNNNNNNNNNNNNNNNNNNNNNNNNNNNNNNNNNNNNNNNNNNNNNNNNNNNNNNNNNNNNNNNNNNNNNNNNNNNNNNNNNNNNNNNNNNNNNNNNNNNNNNNNNNNNNNNNNNNNNNNNNNNNNNNNNNNNNNNNNNNNNNNNNNNNNNNNNNNNNNNNNNNNNNNNNNNNNNNNNNNNNNNNNNNNNNNNNNNNNNNNNNNNNNNNNNNNNNNNNNNNNNNNNNNNNNNNNNNNNNNNNNNNNNNNNNNNNNNNNNNNNNNNNNNNNNNNNNNNNNNNNNNNNNNNNNNNNNNNNNNNNNNNNNNNNNNNNNNNNNNNNNNNNNNNNNNNNNNNNNNNNNNNNNNNNNNNNNNNNNNNNNNNNNNNNNNNNNNNNNNNNNNNNNNNNNNNNNNNNNNNNNNNNNNNNNNNNNNNNNNNNNNNNNNNNNNNNNNNNNNNNNNNNNNNNNNNNNNNNNNNNNNNNNNNNNNNNNNNNNNNNNNNNNNNNNNNNNNNNNNNNNNNNNNNNNNNNNNNNNNNNNNNNNNNNNNNNNNNNNNNNNNNNNNNNNNNNNNNNNNUAGGAACUAUGUCACACAAGAUUGGAUCACUGUAGGUGCCAUGACAAGUAGAAACAAGACUCUGUUAAGUUACCAAAAAUGCUUGAUUUACUCGUCCAUGCUAGUUUGUAUGGUGGGAGAUGUGAUUGCAUCUAAAAAUUGAAAUUUUCAGCUGUAGAUAUUAAAACAAAAUUCUAGGAUUACAUAAAAAAGCCAGUGUUUCAGGGAGGUUUGGGGUUGAGAUCAUUAAUGGAGAUGAAUUUGAUCUUACCAGGUAAGUGAUAUAGAGAUUUAUAGAGGAUGAUACUCGAAAGUAUUAACUAGACUAAAAUAUGGUUUAUCUCUCUUCUCUCUAAAACCCUAGUCCAGCCUCUCCGACCACAACAUCCAAAGUACCUUCAUGAACUUGUAUGGUAGAUGGUAUCUAUACGUAGAAAAUAAAUCCAUCGACCUAUGUUGCGAAGGUAAGAAGGCGGAAGGUUUACGAAUCACGGAGAAUGGGCGUGGGUUCAGAAGAUCGAUUUAUUUAGAUAAGAAGGAAUUUGUUUGGUUUCUUGACGCGCUCGGUGAUUUUUGGUGGAAAAGCAAACCGGGCACAUGAGUCAAAAGCAUUGUGAGGAGGAACUACGAAUUAUGGUUGGCAUAUGACUCAAAUCAGUGAGGGGAAUAUCUUAACCUAACUGUCCAAGGAGGCAGAAGAGUAAAAAAGAUUUUCUUUCCGGAAGGACUGUAGGGGGGAGGGUGGUGGAAACUAAUGGUGGCAACUUCUGAGUUAGUGGAUAAACCGGUCAAAUCUUCCAAGAUCGUUAAUGAAGAACGAAAUAUUGAACUUGAACGCCUUAAGGUGAGUCGGAACCAAAUGAAAUUUCCAUGGAAAGCCUCCUUUCACUGCCCACAUUGCAACACCCCGAUCAACGCCAAUGUAGCAAUGGAAUUCGAAGGUACAAAAAUUUACGUGGCGGCGCUUCAAGCAAGAGAAAGCAAGGUGAGGCAGGUAUGGCAGAGUCAAUUCGAGUGGUCAAAUUGGGUUGGUCCAAAUGGAAAGAACCAGAAUGAAAAGGGUUACAUGGUCGAUGAUCAAAACGACAAAGUCAAGCGUCGUUUUGGUAAAAAAAGGGUUAAGGGAGCUGUAACGAUGGGCCGAACACAGAAGGACAAUACAAAUGGCCGGGUGAUAAGAAAAGAUACACAUGGAGAGAAAAAGGGAAAUCGAAGAUGGAGACUGAUAAUGCCAGGGGCACACUCGCAUGCUUGGAUUCGGGUCUUGUUGCUAACUCGACCCAAGGUGAAACAUCAAGCAUUAAGAAAGUGGAAGAAAUUAAGGAAUUGGUGUCGACUGAUAGCAGAGAAAAAGACUUUUCUAAGUUAUGACUUGACGAAGAGAAAUUGGCCGAGGAAACUGAGAAAAGAGGUCAUGAAGAUGAGUAAUUUGAGUUGAGAGAAAGAGAAGAAGAAGACGCAUGCUCUGUUUUCUCCACAAUGGAGGAUUUUGAAGGGGAACGGCGAAAGGUUAUGGACCUAUUGUGCGACAAGCAUGAAAUCCCGAUGGAGACCAGAAACUUAGUGGUGGUAGAAACAGAUGCCACAUUUUUGGAUUCAAGGGAAGACACUGAUAUUGUAGAGACCAUUCAACUGAAUCUGGAGGGAGCCAACAUCUCUGCCUGGGAGGUGAAGUAUUGCUCGCAGUGGGUUCUUAACAAUGUGAACAAAUUCAACAAGAAAAUGGGCAUAUCCUUUGAAGGUAUGAAAUACUUAACUUAGUUUUUCUUCUUUGAAAUAGAAAAAAGGAAAGUGCCCCCAAGUACUGCACGGACUGUUUUAAUAAAGAAAAAGAGAGUGAGAAGUGGCACCCCUAGGGAGCUUAAAAGAUUGGAGUCUUCCAUAAAUUAUGAAGGAAGAAAAAAAGAAGGUAUGGUCGUAGGCGGGAUCAGGUUGAUUUGUGAAUUAUUGGGAAGAUUUUGUCCUGAAAUGUCUGUGGGGCAAUUGACAGAGAUAAAAGGCUUGUCAUCAAUGACUGUAUGAAAAAAUAGAUGCCUAUUAUAGUUUGUGUGCAAGAAAUAAAAAUUGAAGAUCAUGCCAAAGAAAAGAUUAACAGCAUACGGUGCGAGAAAAACUAGGAUUGACAUGCAAUUCCGGCCAAAGGAUCUGCUGGGGGGAUGAUUAUUUCUUGGAAGAAGGAUUGGGUUAGUUGUCUAGAUGUCUUUAAAGGUCAAUGCACCUUGUCUUGCAUCUUCAAGAAUUGCAAAGGGGACAUAGAAUGGAUGUUCACCAGGGUUUACUACAGAGGCAAUAAAGCGGAGAAAUUAAUUUUGUGGGAUAAAUUGGAGAACUGCAAAACCAGACGGGGUAGUAUGUGGAUUAUUGGGGAAGAUUUUAACACGACAUUGAGACGGGGGAGAGGAACGGUAACUGUUUUUGGUUUCAGAGGCGGCUGAAUUCAAGGAGGUUAUGGACGGGAUUGGUGUGGCUGAUUUGCCGUUGUCAAAAGGGCAGUGGACACGGUCUAAUCGAAAGAGUAUGUCCAGAAUUGAUAGAUUCUUUGUAUCCUCCAAUUUCCUGCUGGAGUUGACCAAUGUAAGCCAAAAAACACUACCCCGACUCACAUAUGAUCAUUAUCCUGUAUGCGUAGAGGUUGAGGGAAUCCAAUGGGGACCUGUGCUGUUUCAGUUAGACAACAAAUGGCUGAAAAAGGAUAAAUUCCGAGAUUUGGUAGAAAAUUCAUGGAAAAAUUGUGAGGUUUAGAGUUGCACCAGCUUCAAACUAGCCUUUAAACUUAAGAAUUUGUAGACUGUUAUCAAAGCAUGGGCCAAAGAGGAGCUGAAGAAUGAGAAGAGCAGGUUUGAUAAUACAGUGGUCGGAUUCAGUUUAUUGGACUCUAAGGAGGUAGGCAAUGGAUUGAAUGACGAGGAGAAUUAUGAGGGGUAAUUUAAAGCUACAGCUUGCUGCAUAUUUGAAGGAAGAAGAAAUGGUGUGGACAGAAGUCAAGAGAAAAGUGGUCGGCGGAUGGUAAUCGGAAUACGAAAUAUUUCCAUACUUUGGCCUCCCAUUGUCACAGAAUAAACUACAUUGAGGAAAUUGUUACCGAGAACAAGAAAACUGGGGGAAAUCCGACUUUACGUGAGGCUGCCAAGGAACAUUUUGAAAAUAUGUAUAAGGCGAUUCAUGUUUGUAGACCAAAGUUGGAUGGUUUGUCAUUUAACAGAAUAUCUGAAGAGAGCAGACAGCUUCUGGAAGCUGAAUUUAAUGCAGAGGAGUUCUUAGAGGGUUUAAAAUCAUGUGAUGGUAAUAAAGCUUCAGGUCCCGAUGGUUUUAGCUUGAAUUUCCUUUAAAGUUUCUGGUAUGUACUGAAAGAGGAUAUUGUGUCUGUUUUCAAAGAUUUACAUUCCAAUGACAAGUUUCUUAAAUCUUUAAACACUACAUUGCCUUUAUUCUCAAGAAAAUGGGUGCCAAUGAAUUUAAAAACUUUAGUCCUAUAAGCUUGGUUGGGUGUAUAUAGAAGCUCAUUGCCAAGGUGUUGGCUAGGAGACUAGUUAAAGUGUUGGGACAAAUAAUUGGGAAAAGCCUACAUGCUUUUGUUGGGGGAAGACAGAUUUUUGAUGCCGUUAUGGCUGCUAAUGAAACGAUUGAUGACUUGAUCAAUAAAAAGGAUAGUUUGGUGUGUAAACUUGACAUGGAAAAAGCUUAUGAUCAUGUGAAUUGGAAUUUUGUAGACUGCAUGCUAUCUACGAUGGUUUUUGGCCUAAAAUGGAGAAAAUGGAUGAGGCUUGUAUGACCACUACAUCUUUUACUGUAUUAAUAAAUGACCGUUUUUCUAAUUUCUUUAAUACUUCUAGAGGAUUGAGGUAAGGGGAUCCACUCUCUCUGCUUUUGUUUAUAAUGGUGAUGGAGGCUUUAAACGGGUUAGUCAACAGGGCACAUGAGUUGCAUUUGAUUAGGGGAGUUUCAGCGGGACAAAAAGAGAGAAUUGAUGUUUCUCACUUAUUCUUUGUUGAUGAUACCCUAAUUUCCGUCAACCGGAUUUGAGAAACAUACUACAUUUGAGGUUUGUACUUGUGUGUUUUCAAGCUGUCUCGGGUUUCAAGAUUAAUUUAUACAAGUCUGAAUUGGGCAGAAUUGGUGGUAAUGGGGUUGCUAGUUCAUAUGCUAUGAUUUUAGGCUGUAAAGAUAUAAAAUUUUCCUUCAAGUACCUUGGCCUCUCACUUGGUGCUAAGUGUAAAGAUCAAUUAUCUUGAGAACCGGUUAUUGAUUUGUUUGAAAGAAGACUAGAGGGUUGGAAGAGAAAUUUUCUCUCUAAAAGGGGGAGACACACCCUAGUAAAAAACGCAGUGAUUAAUAUCUCAAUAUAUUAUCUUUUGACAAUCACUAUAUCUCUUAAAGUGGCUAAAAACCUAAAAACAAUUCAAUGUAGAUUCUUUUGGGUGAUAGUGAUGAUAAGAGAAAGUACCAUCUUGUAAAAUGGGAGGAUAUCAAAGACCCAAUCAUUUAUGGAGGCCUUGGGAUUAGGUUCAUGGUUAAUAUGAAUUUAGCACUCCAGAGAAAAUGGAUUUGGAGAUAUUUGAAAGAAGAAAACAGUUUUUGGAGAAAAAUUAUUCAUGCUCGGUGGGGUAUGUAUAUGGGUAGGACAGUUGACGGUAGGAUUCCAAACACACAUGGAAGAGGCUUAUGGAGAAAAAUUCUAAUGCAAUGGUGCAACUUUCAGCAAUGUGUCACAUGGACAUUAGGGAGAGGGAACAGGAUUAUUUUUUGGGAAGACGAUUGGAUCGGGGAGAGCUGUUUAAGAAGAAGUUUUCCCAGAAUUUUCAAUAUUGCAUAAUCUAAGGAGAUGACAGUUGAAGAAGCCUACCGGACUGAUAUGACAGUAUUGUAUGUUCUAUUAACGUCAGUCUGAACUUGAAUGAUUGAGAAAUUGUUGAGUAUGAGGGUUUGAUGAAGCCGUUGGCUGGUUAGGUUGUAGACAGUAAUGUAGAUCAGAUUGUGUGGAAAUUUGAAAAAAAAAGAAAAUUUCUCAGUUAAGUCUUACUACAAUCAACGAAGCUGAAAAGUGAAUGUGGCCAGACAGAACUUUCCAACCAAGCGAAUUUGGAAAACCAAGGCUUUGCUCCGUAUUGCCUUUUUUGCUUGGGAGACUUUCUGGGAGAGGAUUUUGACUAUUGAAAAGUUGAGAAUUAGAAGAAGAGUGAUGGUUAACGUUUGCUAUUGUUGCUUGCAAGCUGAGGAAAUGUGGAACCAUCUCUUAUUGUGGUGUCCGUUUGUUUACAGCUUAUGGUGUUUGAUAUAUAGUCUUAUGGGGAUUGAUUGGGUCGUAAUUGGGUCUGUUGAGGGAGAAAUAUGGGCUUGGGAUGAGCUAUAUGUAAAAAAAAAAAAAUUGCUAACUUGAUUUCUUUGACUGUUUUCUGUGUCAAUUGGAAGGAAAGAAGUGGUAGGACUUUUGACAAUAUUGAGAAUAGGAUCAAUAGAUUAAAAGAUAGGUGAAUUCAUAAUUUUAGUUUUAUUUUAUUAGAACAUAACAUUAUUAGUGGAUUUUGGGAAUGUCAUUGAUAUACUAACAUGAUUUGAUUUUUUGUACAUGGGUGGUACUCUCUUUUUGGUGUCUUGUUAAUACAUACUAUACAUUUUUAUUGGAAAAAAAAGUAUUGACUAGACUACUUGGAAAGGGGAUGUGUAAAAAAUAUGCAUGGAUAGGAAUAAAUUUCAAGAUCGCAUCAGGUGGAGGGUUGAUAUUGGGGGCAAAAUCAGUUUUUGGCAAGACGCUUGGCUUAGAGAGGGAUAGCUCAAAGAUCAGUUUCCCUAGAUAUAUGCCAUUGUAGGGUACAAAAAGAUUACGAUUUUUUAGUCAUUCAAAGAUAUAGGGGGAAAAAGGGAGUGGUACAUGGAAAUUAUGAUAAACCUCAAUGAAUGUGACAUUAAUGAUUAUGAGACUCACCUCAAUACAUUCUCCUUCGCCUCAAUUAAUGGGAGUAAUGAUCAACCAAUUUAGAGUUUCAAUUCCAGAAGGUCUAUCUUAGUCAGAUCUUUCUAUAAUUAUUUAAUUAAGAAUAACCCCACUUAGACCAAUUUUUCUUUUUGGCAAAUUUGAAAAGUUAAUUCUCUAUUUAGAAUUACUUUUUUGCCGUGGGAAAGAGGUUGUCGAUGUAUCUCACUAUUGACAAAUUGAUGAGGAGGAGAAAUAUUUUGGUGAAUGAUUGUUUUCUAUGCAAGAGGGAAGCCAAAUCUUGUAAUCACAUCGUUCUUUGGUGCCCGCUUGCACAUAAGUUAUGAACCAUGGCUUACAAGUCACUGGGGAUUAGUUAAGGCAAUGGCUAAUUUGGUAAGGGACGAAAUUCGGGUCUAGAGGGGUAUUAAUAGAGGAAAGAAACAUGCGAGUCUCAUUCCCCUUGCUGUCUUUUGGGUGGUGGGGAAAGAGACAUGAGAGUUUUUAGGGAGUGGAAGAUGAAUUUGAUAGGGUUAUAGAUAGGUGGUUUCAGACCCUAGUUUUUUUAGUUAUGAGUCAUUCUCUGUAUACAAUUAAAGAUUUUGGGGACCUUAUUAAUAUUAUGUUUGACAUGUAAAUACUUUUUCGUCUUUGGGUUGGCACCCCCUUAGUGUUUGUAGAUUAAUAAAUCAUAUUAUACUUUUUAUUUCAAAAAAAAAAAAAUGAACAUUCUGCAACAUUCUUUGUGAAUGACAAGUUUUUUACAUUUAUUCUUACAGCAAGCUACAGUUUGGAAAAUUAGAGAAUAUUUUGGAUCUUUUUCUACGUUAGCUGCAUAAUUAUGCUUAAUUACAGUCAAGAAUAACUUGUCAAUCCUAUCAUCCUUGAAUAAUGACUUAUUCUCUUCCUCACGAUUCAACAUGCCUUAAACUUUUUCCAUCAUAUACUUUUGCAGAAGAGGCUGCAAAAUAAGAGAGGUAGACAAGAAUACCUCCUUUUCAAUUGCCAAAUGCCAGCCUAAGAGGGGAUAAGCCAAUCUAGGGUAAUCAAUUUAGUCAAACCCGAUUGAAAAAGUCAAAACAGAGCAUGAUACAAAAGGCCCACUCGCGGGUGCAGGUGCUUGGGGUCCAUGCGUUGGCUUUUAGUCAUUGUAUGGCACUGGCCAUUUGGCAGUUGGCUCUACUGGAGGUGCUAAUUUUCGUUUGGAGGUCAGUGUAGGACAUGACAGUGCAGAAGUUCGGAUUCAUGAAAGGCAGCGACUAGAGGAGUUGCGCGGGUGAGUAUGGUGGUUUGUGGUGGAUUUAUGCUGUGGGGUUUUUGGGUUGCCAGGCGGGGUCUUCUUAGACUAGUUAUAGUGACUGUGUUGAUCAACUCCAAUCAGUGACUGUGAUCUAGGGCGGCGGCAGUAGACUGGGUUAGGUUUUCUGUCCUUUUUUUUUAUAUUCUGUUUUCUUUUUCUUUAUUCUUUUUCGAAGAUAAGUUUUAGGACUGUGUAGGAUUUUGAGAAUUGGAUUUAUGAAUCUUUUAGCUCUCGUACUAAAUUGAUGUAAGACAAAUAGAAUUGAUUUGUCCAAUUAGAGAUUUAGGGAUUAAAAACCUGGACAUCAUGCCUAAAAUUUCUUAAACAUCACAUUAAGGAAUCUUAAGUAUCAUAUUUAUAGGUUUAAUUGCAUCACAUAAACAGAAAACUGAGAAAUUCUAAAAAAAUUAUUGAAUAACUGAAUACUAUCCUCUCAAAAGGUUAUAGUCAUACAUGUAGAAUACUUAAUAGGUCUUUCCUAAACUAGAUUAGGAAAUGCCAAAACUAAAUUAGGAAUUUUACUUUUAAUAAAAUGAGAAUACAGCUGCUAAAAAGAUCAAGAAUGUUAAUCCUAAUAGAAAAAGAAAAUACUAAAACAAAUAGGAAAUCUAAUACUAAAAAUAAUAAAAUUUUGAAGUUACCAAAACUUUAGUACUAGACUUCUAGGAGGGCUUCGGGGUUUGUCUGCUUUGUGCCUGCCUGCUUCAUUUCUGAUUUCAAUGGAGGACAUACACCGAUGCCGUAUGUAUGGUCAAAAGCCCUAUAUCCUUGAAAUACGGAGAAGAACAAAGAUUUUAUACGCGGAAGUUGGUGAAAUUUAUAGUCCCACUAACAUAACUUUUGUUGGUUAUGUUAAUGGGAUACUCCAAAGGAAAGAUGAGAAAUUUUAAAAGAAGAGAUAGAAGGGCUGGAGCGAAAGGAUGCAGAGCUCAUUUUGGUAAAAGAUCAGUAAGUUUAAUACUGUGAAAAGUUUCAGAACUGCUUCACUGUAUUAAUCAUGAUAUUAGUAAAGUGUAUUUAUACAAGGAAGAGUCCAUCUUCAUGUGGAACUUUGUGAAAGAAAACAUUUAGAAUACUGACUCAGUUGUAAUGUUAUGUACAUAUCCUAUCAGCUAUAACUUCUUCCCAGGUACCCAGUGAGAAGCGAACACCUGGGUGACCAAAAAAGGAGCCGCCACCACACUUCACCUUUUGUACCUUGAGGGAAUGUCAUGAUUCUUCUUCCUUUGUUAUCCUCCUUGAGUUCUAGAUAGUUACCCGUUUUAUUCUUGCCAAGCUGUAAAGAUAACUCCCUACCAACUCCUCUCUGUAGGUUCCUCCAUUGUCGCUUUGGUCCAAAAGAACUGACACAGAACGACUCACACAAGGAUCUGAACAACCAUUAAGUUUCCAGGUUGAAGGUGGAAUAAGAACCAAAUCUAUGCCCAUUUUGCGAAGCCUAGGGAGGUCAUUCACUUCUCCUUUUGAUACCAUGUCAAAUGAUUUUCUUUUAAUUACUAGGAGUUCUCUAGAGAAAAGGAUAUAAUUUCAGAUCAGAGGGCUGACAAUGGUAGGGAGCUCUGGACAGAUGGCCCAGGCAAAGCUCCAGGAAGGUAAAGAAAAAGGAUAAGUUGGUAGAGAGAUAACCUAGAGAGGGAAAAGCAACUUUGAACAGUCAAACGACAAUGACCUAUGAAUAUAGAGAUCAACUGUUUGAGAAUAUCAUGAUCUCUACAUUAGCCCUGUUUAUUCAUUUUAAGUUAUCGAGGAUUUUCAAUGUCUUUUAUGCAAUUAUUCAUAUACUAUGUAUGAACUGAAGCCAAUGCUUGAAUGGCCAGUUUGAGCUUCUGUUGAUGAUUCCAUUUGUUAAACUUGCAGUAAAUCAGAAUAUGUCAUAUACAAGCUCAAGGAGAUGGCAAAGAUAUCAGAGAAAGACAUUUCCCCUAUCUGUAACCAGUUUGACAGGCUAGAUACGGGCAACUGCGGAAAAAUCACUCUUGCUGAUCUCAUGGAGAGUCAUCACUGAUAUAGAUAAUGCCGUGCAGGAUACAACAGAAGUUGUAGAGAAUCAGUAUGCCACUAAACUGUAAAAUUUGAUAAUUCGCAAAAAAGUUGAAUAUACAAACGUUCCAUGAACUUCAGUGCCUGAUACUGGUAAUCUCUUUACCCAUGAAUCAUGCGCAUCCAGAUACUAGAUACUUGAGUUAACCAUCUGCAUCCUAUUGUCUGAUUUGGUUCUAAAGCAUUUUGAGCAUCAGGAUGUGCAGAUAUUAGUGCUUCCUCCUAUUAUCUGAUAUGCUCCUGAAGCAUUUUGAGCAUCAGGAUGUGCAGAUAUUAAAGCUUCCCCUAGAUUUGGCAAACAUACUUGGUGCACAGAUACAGAUGGAUGCUGUUAGGGGGUGGGGGCGGGGAGAGACUUUUUUUUUUUUUUGCAGAUGUGUUAUUUUUUAUACCCACGAAUUCGGUAUAUACAUAUAUAUUCUUUGAUAGAUUUAUGAUAAUAAAAGAUUGGGCAGGGUGUAUUUAUUCCUUUGUAGUAGUCAUGUCUUCUUCCAUGUUAAUUUCUAUUUAAUCUAAAGCAUGUGAAUGUCAGUUGUAAUCAAAUACAUGAAUGAAGGUGAAGCUUGUUAAUAUGUAAGUUGCAGAGGACUGAUGAUCUUUAAUAAUUAAUACAGUUUAAUAUUUCACCAAGAAUCACUAAAUCUCCUUAUAGUUUAGUGGUAGUGCAUCAAAGUAGUUCGUUAUGGUCAAUAGUUUGAGAGCAAAAAAGGCACAACAGGAGACCAAAAGUAAGAAAGAAUAGUGACAGUAAAACUAGUUACUGUAUUGGAUAGGGUUUUGUUUAUGGAAUUGUGAGGAAUGAAAUACAGUAAGGAAUUUAAGUUAUUUAUGAAUUAAAUAGGAAGUUGAGUUUUAAGGGUAAAAUGAAAAUACAAGAAGAAAUAUCAAUAUUGGAGAACCAAUAGUAGUUAUCUUCCAUAUAUAUAUAAAUAUAUAUUUCUCACAUCUUUUUUUGAUUGAUUUCUCAUUAAAACCGAAACUUUUAACUAACAUAUACCUACCUUGUUCGAGAAGAAAGGAACAAGAGGGUUUUCUGAUGGAAAAAAGGCCGCAACGGGAGUUCUAAAAAAUGGAUUGGAUAAAUUAUUACUAAUAAUCAAACUUGUUGAAUUGCGUAAUGAAAAAUAAUAAAAUUGAAUUAUCUAAAUACUUGUGUUCAUAAGAAAUUGUGUGUGAAAAAUAGUAAAACUGAAUUACCUAAAUAUUUAUGUUUAUAAAAAAUCGAGUAAAUAUCUUUUAAGGUAAACUAAAGUACUAAAAUUUACGUCGAUUUUUACUCUUUAUCCAAUACAUUUAAUAACCUCGGAGAUAGUAGACUUUUUCUUUCAACUGGCUCUUUAAUUUCAGGCUAACUUCAUAUAAAUUCGUGAUUUGAUCUCAAAUUUAAGACUUUUAACAUAUUUAUUUUUGUUUUAUAUCAAAUAAAUAUUGAUCUUUAGCUAAGAGUUAAAUUUAAUAGUAAGAAAUUAUGAUAUUACUCUCAAAUAAACUUGUUUGUAACCCUAAAAAUAACUUUUUUUUCUGAUAUGUAUUUAAGCCCAUUAAGUUGGGUUUGGACAUAAAUAAAAACUUGAGAAAUUAAAAAAUUAUUCACGUAUUUUUACUUGCCUAGAUUUUUUAAAUACAACUCUUGAAAAUUUAUAUCAUGCAUGUGUUAUAUAACAAUUAGGGAAAACAAUAUGUAAUAACCUGUCUUCUGUAAGUGUGAAUCCUCAUCAUAGGAAAUAUGUUUUUCUUAUCAAAAUUUACAAAAAUUUAUAAAAUUAGAGUAUCUCAUCAUGUAUAUAUACAUAUAAAUGUAUAUAUAUAUAUCAAUACUCAACUUGCUAAAAUCAUUAAAUAAAACAUUUUAUUUCCAACAUAAUAAAAAAUUUUAAUUUAAAAUUGUUCCAUAAUUUAAUUUAAUAUAAGUAUUAAAAAGUUACCAUCCAUAUACAAUAUAUGAUCAAUGACAUUUACAAAAUUAUCCAAAAUCAUAGAAUGAAAAGUAUAAAUUCACCAAUCUCUAAUGUUAAUAUCAAUUCCAUCAAACCUUCUCGAAUUUCUUUCCUUUCACACCACUUCAAAAGUGAAAAGAGGAAUUAAAAGAAACGACCAUCAAGAUACAUAUAUAUAUAUAUACAUAUAUAUAUGUAUAUCUAUAUUACUCGUACAUCUCAUUGCGUUGUCAGUCUGCCUACAUAGACUAACAGGGUAGUCAUUGGUUUGAUUAACUAGAAAAGUGUAUCCAUUUCUUUUAAAUUACAAAGGUCUGUUCGUUUACUUUAGGGUAAUUGAAUGUAAGUGGCUCUUUACUUAUACCUUAUCUACAUGAUUGGGUAUGAGAAUCAUGCAAUUGAAAAAAAAAUUUGGGUUGUGUAUUAUGCAUGUACAAGGUGCAUGAGAAUCGCCAUUGUAAUGUUCUUACCUAACCAGCAUGAUAAUUGCAUGAACAGAAGCUAUUUGAAUUUGCAAUUAAACAACCCAAUAGAAUUGGCUAUUAGCAAGGGGCAGAUUUGCGAGUAACACUUUCUGCAGAUGUACGUAGUUUUCGAGCCCUCUCGUUAGGACUAUCAGUAGAUCCUCCUGCAAGAAGUCAUGAUAGCAUAAUCUUAGUGAAUUCGAACUUUUACUCGAUGACAUGGUGUCGUGACGGGAUAGUUUUCAAAACACCUGAGUUAGAACAAAAUUCCGCACUCAAACCAUGAGAAGAAUUAACUCAGCUAAUUUCUUAUUCUCUAUUGACUUCAAAACCAAUGGUGUACUGUGUCCUGGUUCUCAGAAGAUUUAAAUUAGAACAAGAUUCAAAUUUAUAGUGACAAUUCAAUUGGAGAAUCCAAAAGGCACAAAGAUAUUGUACGAGUAUUUAAAUCAAAUCCUACCUUGCACAUCCUAACUGAAUUUCACAAAAUAUUUGAUAUAUUACAAAAAUAGCCUAAGAAUAAUAGAUAAUAGAUAAAAUAUUAAUCACCUUCACCAUAUACAGGGUAGAACCCCAAAUAUUUAGCAAUUACAAAGUGGAGUUCAUUUGCUUAAAGACCAUUUCCCAAUUAACUUGGUAUCAUUGUACAGAAGAAAGCAUAAUAAGAAAAGGAAUAAAAAGCAACAAGAGAAUCAACACACCUUAUUUGAUAAGAACAUAAUCUGCACCAGCCAUAAAUGCAUCUCCAGCAGUCGGAGGCAAGUUAUUUCUAGAAAUAUUUUUUCGAACCUGAGCAUGAGUUUCUGCUUCGUGCUGGAACAUUUUAACCAACUCUUGCAGCUCCAAUUUUCUAACUUCUACCUGCUCCUCAGUAAUGGGUUUUUUCAACCCGAGAUAGAUCAGUCCAACAAUGAUUAGCACUAUUCCUAUACAGAACAAGAUGGCAGCAAAAAGACCAAAAGCAUAAGGUGUGUUAGCUGCUCCAGGGAUUCCGUCAACAUUGAUUCCAAAUAACCCUGUGAUGAUGGAAAGUACAAGGCCACAACCCCCAAAAACAGCUAAAUUGUGGGUUACUCGCAGGCUUCUGUCCUGAAUUUAACAAUUUUCAUAGGCAUGAGACAUAGCAAUGUGUAGAAGUUAAUCUGUCAAUAUGAAGAUCAUUCUUCAAAUGUCAAUUAAAUAUGUAACUUCUUUUUUAGGUUUGUUUGGCACAAACCUGCAGCCAUGCACGGACAGUGCUUUGCAUAACAUCCUGAAUUGUGAAUAAGCGGCCACGAACUGCUUCUUGCUCCUCAAUCAUUUCUCUUGCGUUCUUCCUUAUUCCUUCUAGCAAAGUCCUGGCUACAUUUCCCCUCAAAUGUUGGAGAAGCUCAAAGACAAUCUCUUCUCUUGCAUGGAGAGACCACUUUACUCUGAUGACCUGCAACAGCAACCAUAAGUUUUUAAUGAUCAAUAACAAUUUUGAACUCUUAAAGAUCCUGAAAAAAUUCGAAUAGAGAUCUCUGAACUAGCAUGUAAAAACAUAGUUUGGAAGAAAUGAACUUCGUUAAAAUAAGUGAGAAAUUUGAAAUAAAUUAUCUCAAUUCCACUUGGAAUUGUCAAAGAGCUAAAGCUAGGAGAUUUCAAAUUCAUGACUUAUGCUCAGGAGGCAUGAAAACCUUCCUCCCAACACAACACCCUACCUACAAAGGAAAGAAAAAGAUUCUAAGAAAGACAACUUUUCCACAAAUGACUUUCAAUCUAGACGGAGAAAGUGUAAUACCUGUCUUGACAACUUUCUUAUUUCUUGAUUCAGAAUAAUGCUGAAAAGAUACAUAUCUUCCUGGUUUCUCCUGCAAAAAAGGAACUAAUUGUCACUAUCAGAGUACGAAGUGGCAGUCCGAACUCAAUAAAUAGAUUCAUGUCCCCAAACAACCUGUUCAUAAACUUUAACUCAAUCUCAUCGGCUGCACCAAAGAUGUACUUCCGGAACAACCUGAAAUAAAUUAAAGACAGGUAGAAAACCAUUACUAUAAAAACUUAUGCUAAUCACGAGUCUCUUAAUGCCACUAGUAUAUAUCACGUUUACCACAGAAAAUUAUUCAGAGAUUGGAUCUUACUUUACAGUAGCAAGUGGAGGUUUACGACUUAUGACAACCAAAUUUCCAAGAUAGGGUAAAAACGUUUGAUUAUAUCACUGGAAGUGAACAAGACUCCCUAUGUUACAUAAGACAGAUAUUGUAUAAUUGUUCGAUUUUCCGCAAUUUUUUCCUUUUCUCUGUAUAAAUAACCUAAUAUUGGUUCAAAGUCAAAAACAUAUUCACCAUCUAAAGUAACGACUAGAUGAGAACACCAUGCAUUGACGAAGUACAACAAAACCUUUGCCAUUUAGCAAGCUAGAUUUUAACCUUCCAAUUUUAUCAGAUGUUCUCUCGAAGAGACAACCUAGACUGGCCUUUCACAGACAUUUUGAAGUAAAACGAACAACAAAUAAAAUUUCCUUUUAGCAUAUUGCUAACGUCCUACAAAACUUGCAACUAAACAUAUGUCAAAGUGCAUUUCCAGGGACCAUAUGCAUAAAUCUGAACUAGUCAUAUCAAUUGCAUUGCAUUAAAAGGCAGCAGGGUCAAACAGCUGGACUGAAUUUGGAAAAGAACAAAAUUCAAUACCUAUCAUCCCAUCGAGUAAGACGGCAUGCAAGAAGUGCUAUGAGUUCAUGCACUGUCCUGGGCAUGUUAUAACCUCCGGCAGAAAGAAGCUCCUAUAAAAGCAAAGCACCAAAAGCUUGAAUAAGAAAUUAUGGCAUCACUAUAAACUUGUUUCAUUAGACAAUAGAAAGUUGUAAUGACUGCCAUUGAGAACAUCUAUACAAGCAUGAACAACCUGAACUUCUGUGAUGCCCAGCACAUUUAUGCAUGACACAUUUCCCUUGAUAUGCAAUACAGUUAUUAGGAAGUUUUGUGCUUGCCAAGACCGCAGUACAACAGGGGUGUCAUCUUCAUCAACAAAUGGAUCACCAGCUGAUUGUCCCAACAGCUCAAAUAAUAAGCCUCCAGCAACCCUAACUGGAACCUUAAUAUUUGCACAGUAAAGAAGCCAACACAUCAGAACCUCAUUUCAAACAAUAAAUACAUAUAUAUAUGUUGAAAAUCUGCGUCGAUUUCAUCCUAGAUAUGUACAGAGUCCUCUCAUCUAUUUCUAUAGCUAGAAAAUCUUAUACAAUCUCUAAUCUUUCCUCUUAUCAUCACUUAGAUUAAUUGAUUCAUAAUUCUUAAGAAUCCCUAGAUUUUAGGAAUUGAUUGUAGGGUCAAAAUUUUCAAGUUAGGCAUAACUUUUUUGUAUAAAUAAUGACUACAUGGUAUCCAAGCAGUCCAAUCUGGAUGUUUUUACAGCCUUCACUAUUGAACCGUCUCUUUCUCCAGCUUUCACUGCUAAACAGAAAAAUUCAUCCAUUUUGUUUAUUAUUGGUCUUCAUAUCAAGGUUACUUCCUUUAUCUUUUUCUUAAAAAUGAUAGAUUUCUCUGAAAAUUCAUUGAACCCCUCUAUGACUGAUAUUGGAUCCAUGCCAAAUUAGUCAAUCAGGGAAAUUGCAAGACAUUAAUCCUUCAUACUAAAUGGAAAAAAAUAUAUAUAUAUUUUCAAUGGUCACAAACUGAGAGCCCUUCUAAAGGGAAGAGGAAAAUUAAGCUACGAAACUGGAACCAUUCUAAAACUAGAAGAUCUGAAGUUUAAUUGAUUAAUUCGGGAAUGAGGAAGAUUUGGUGAUCUUUGUUCAUUCUGGAAUUUAAUGCAAUCAGUGGGAACUGUUUGUUUCUCACAAUUGAUCUAGAGAUCAGCAAAGCUAAUUGCCAGAUGUACUCUAACAUAUAAGAUGCCACUCUAAUCUACAAAAUCGAGAGUAUAUAUUUAAGCAAGCUACAGCCUCAUUUAUAAAUACUAAACUUCAUGAAAAGUUUGUGACUUGAGAUGGAUAAUUACCACAAUAUUAAGAUGAAAUGUAGUGAGGAUGCUGCAAUCCUCAAGAGUUAUGAUGAAAGAGACAAACUUUCGAACUUAUUGCUUGCCUUAAUUCAGAAUUAGAUUGUAUAUGCUUUCAGUUUUGCGGAAAAGGGACAUUACCUUCCCCAAUGAGACUUUUGUAAUAAUUGGUGCUGAGGAGAGCCGAAGAAAAAUUAUGCUCAAUUACUGAACGUUAAAUAGCUCAAUCAUGAUCUUUACAAAAUUCACAAUGAUAGACUCAACUAAAGCUCUAAGAUAAUGGUACAAAUGAGAACAAAAAUUUUUAGUACUCUAAACCACUUAACUGGGAAGGAAUUUGGUGCAUAUAUUAUAUGAAGUCACAACAAAUGAAUAAGAAUUGCUUUAAACUCCAUUGAAAAGCUCAAGUUCUCAGCCAAAAUGGGGGGCUUAAAACAAUGAAAAAAGCAAGCAUACGUCAUGAAUAGAUGGCAUCUUGUCUAAAAAUUCAACCCAAAAGCAACAAUUUUGGAGAACUCAAGAAGGAGGGAAGUGAAUUAGAUAUCUUCAGACAAUAUUGCAAGAAAAACUAGGUAGCCCUUUCUUGCUCGUCAAAAAGUUCUUCCUCCAACAUAACUGAGAUUUUGCUCCAUCCUUUAAUUUGCUUAGAUACAUGUUUCCCCAUCCUUUUGAAAAUUUCACUGUUGGUAGCUUCAUUGAGAUACUUGUGAACUUGCUAAAGACCAUCACGUAUCAUGUCCCUUGAGUAAUAAAAGGUUUACUACACCUUGUUCUUUGAUAGAUACUGAAGUUUGGAGCCAAUCUAGAGCCCCGAACAUUUCAGGGACCAAAUAUUUCAUAUCUUUUUAUUAAUAAUUGCACUACGACAACCUAUUUAUUUCUCUUGAAAGGAAGAAUCAGAGAUAUGAAACAUUAUUGCAAUUUUUCACAUAACAAUUAUUACACAACAUAGUGUUUCUAUUAACAGGAUCAGGUCUGACAAUGCAAGGAAUAAUUUUGAGCGGGUUAUUUCAUCUUCCUUGCAAAGAGAAAGGACUAUCCUUGAGUCUUCUUGUGUGGAUACCCUCCAAAAAAAAUGAGGUCUGUGAGUGAUAAAAUAGGCAUUUAUGCAAUGUUAUAUAACCACCACCAUUUCAAAAUAAAAGCCCCAGUCUUUAUCAAGGACAAUUUUUACGGAAGGUAAGGAAGCAAAGUGGUUUCUGCUUUACUUGAGCUUUCCAAGGACUCAAAUCUCCCUUAAGCAAAGUGAAGGAGUUUGAGUUAAUAGUAAGCCAGGAAGUUGGUUUCUUUAAGAAACUAAUAAGAAUUAGAAUUAUUUUAGGAUUUUGUUUAAGUAUAUAGAUUUAAAUUGGAAAAUUGGAUAAAACUAGAACUAUGAUUCCUAAAAUUAUAAUUAGAUUUAGAUUAGGAAUGGGGACAGAACUAGGAUUAUAAUUCCUAGAAUGGUAAUAGAGAUCUAAUUCAAUUAUCUUUUCCAAUAAAUAAACCUAUUAUCAUGAAUAAAAUCAUCAGCUAUUAAUCCAAAGAGUUCUUCUCUGAAAGAUCAAUAGUUAUCUCAAACGAAACUCACCAAAGGCCAAUAAAACUGAAAACCGGAAAGUAAGCAACCCGCUUGCUACAGGAUUUCACAUUAGCAAGCCCUGUGACCAUAUCCGAAGCUCGGGAACCUUAUAUAAGGAUUAGAGAAUCUAGGAGCCUUUCUAUCUCUAACCUAUUUUGACAGUGAAAAGACUAUCAAAGAGAACUUGACAACCUCAUAGUUCUGCGAGAAACUCUAACUUUAUGGAUAGUUUUCUGCUCACUUUUCAUUCAUAGCUAAAAGAAUUGUCUCAUCAAUUACAAGGCAAAUGAGAAACGACCAACUGAAGCAGAACUAGCCACUUAAAAAAAGAUGGAAAAGAACUGAAGAGAAACUAUUUCCAGAAUUCUAAAAAGUUAAAAACAAGCCUAAAACUAGGACAACUAUUUAUAAAUAAAAAAUCUUAAAAAAGGAAAAAGAAAAACAAGUAGAAUCUAGUCAGAUGUUAAUUCUCUUUGGCCUCGUCCCCUCUUCUUCCCAUGUGCAUAUUUGCUAUAAAAUUGCAUAGAAAAAAACACAAUCCUGUCUGUUUCAACCACCUAACUCCCGAGUGAAUUGGUUUUUUGAGAUUCAUAUCAUCAAUAAAUGAUUGACCCUAAAAUUUCACAUAUCAUUCAUGCCAGAUGACCAACUUAUACUAGCCCAACUACAAAGAAUCACAUCAUUCAUUAAACUAAUUUUUGUUAAUUAAAAGCAUGUUUACGACUUAAAUAAGCCACAUACCUCAUAAAGAAGGUGUUUCAUCCGUUCACUUAUCAGUCGACUUUCAUCUCUCAAUGCCAAACUGAUGGCAGGAUGUAACCACUUAGCAUUACUGAGCCAUGAUUCGACAAAAGGGUGACCAGCAGCCAGAUGGCACCACCAUACAGGGCCUGCUGGCCGUUCCCAGUAUGGAGCUGCUAGAUCUGCCACAGUGACUCCCUCUUCAUCAUCCACUGGCCCCGACUGCUGUGAUGCCCAUACUGCAUUCACUUGCACUGUUUGAGCAAGCUCUGAAAUCCUAGCCCACCCAAUUGGAACCCAGUAACUACCUUCAUAUCUUUCAAUUUGUCCUGAUUGAAACAUCUGACUGUCUUUGUCGUUGAAAGGAAGAUUUGCAUUGUCCCUCAACUCACUGAGGGAAGAGGAUUCCAACAUUCUGCUCCCAUCUAAGCUUAAGGAAGGCGAAUCAAUUAGUCCAUUUGUUGGCAUAUGCAUGUUCAAAUACUCACCAUCUGGCUCUCUGACUGGGGCUUUUGAACCCCAUUUUGCAUUCAUUGAUCUCUUAUGCCUAAAUAUGCACUCAAAAGCACAAAUGAUCCCAUCUAUCCAAAGAUCACUUGUCGGCUUGACAUCUCUAGUAGAGAAGUUUACAUGAUGUUCUGGUUUCUUCAUUUUAUUCUUUUAAGAAACUGAGCUAUCCUCCCCCGAAUGACUCAUUUUCUUUCAUUUAUGCUCGCGUACCAAAUAACUUGCAACCAAUAUUCUCAAAGCUCGACAUCAAUCAACAGAAGCUGACCAUUCCAGGAACGAGAAGAGAAUGUUCCAUCAGCAUGUAAAGAGUUACAAUUCAGUUCAGCAGCAAGAAACAUAUUCUUGCACAGCAUAAUNNNNNNNNNNNNNNNNNNNNNNNNNNNNNNNNNNNNNNNNNNNNNNNNNNNNNNNNNNNNNNNNNNNNNNNNNNNNNNNNNNNNNNNNNNNNNNNNNNNNNNNNNNNNNNNNNNNNNNNNNNNNNNNNNNNNNNNNNNNNNNNNNNNNNNNNNNNNNNNNNNNNNNNNNNNNNNNNNNNNNNNNNNNNNNNNNNNNNNNNNNNNNNNNNNNNNNNNNNNNNNNNNNNNNNNNNNNNNNNNNNNNNNNNNNNNNNNNNNNNNNNNNNNNNNNNNNNNNNNNNNNNNNNNNNNNNNNNNNNNNNNNNNNNNNNNNNNNNNNNNNNNNNNNNNNNNNNNNNNNNNNNNNNNNNNNNNNNNNNNNNNNNNNNNNNNNNNNNNNNNNNNNNNNNNNNNNNNNNNNNNNNNNNNNNNNNNNNNNNNNNNNNNNNNNNNNNNNNNNNNNNNNNNNNNNNNNNNNNNNNNNNNNNNNNNNNNNNNNNNNNNNNNNNNNNNNNNNNCAGGAAAAAAAAAAAAAACUAUUUAUUUCUCACAAGACAAAUAAAAAUCAACAUACCUUCAUUACUGCCAAAAUCUUCUAAUUGCUUAGCAAGUUUUUGCGGAGCCGUUGACAGAUUGCCCAGCUUACAAGUUAAAGAAGAUCCAAAAAAAAAAAAAAAAAGAAAGAAAAAGAAAAAGAAAAACAUUUAUGUUAGCAAACCGAGCAUAAAGCAAGGAAAAGACAACCGGCGCAAACUUUCCUAAAGAAUAGAUCACUGGAGUUUUCUUAUCAAAAGGUAGAACUACACGUCUUUAUACUUUCCACCAAAUAUUCGCAGGUGAUAAUUCAACCGACAGAAUCGUUCAAUAGUUAUUUCCAUUUUUUUUUUAAAAAAAAAAAAACGGAGACAAAAACAAAGCUCUCGUUGCAGAAUAAACCAGCUGAGAAACGGUGAAUUUGCGUGAAGAAAGCCUCGAUUUCUUCGAAUAAAAAAAUUUACUAAAAGCUGAACAAAUUAUGAAGAGCUAGGUUUACCAUAAAAUGAAAGAGAUGCGAUGAUCCUCACCAAAAAUUGGUAAGAAUUCCACAAACUCUCAUGCCAAGGAAAUACCGCUCAACACCUCCUUCCUUCCACCUACAAGAAGCACGCCACCUUUCUAAGAUCACACAUGAAGAAUUGAGAAAUCGACGAUCAAAUCCAAGAAACAACCUGAAUUUGUGAGCUCCAUAAUUGGAAGAUAAACCUGUAUUUACUAAAGGAAAAAGCCAUACCAUGACCAUGAACUGUGAUUGGUGGAGCUUCUGCUUUGUGCUUAUUCGGUCAAAAAAAUACAAAUAAAAAUUGGUUAAAAAGAAUAAUAUUUAUUAAUUUAAAAUUAAAUUAUUUAGAAGAAGAAUAUUUUUA
rnacentral:lncRNA from 1 species